GGGGACUGCAAUCUAGGAAUAGGUGCUUGUGGCUGUGGGUAGAUUCUGCUUUAAACAAAAAUGCCACAGCAGCCACCCAUCUCUCUUCAACUACUUUCUCAGCUAAAGGUGAAAUAUUUCUGCUCCAACUCAAGGCAUCCAGGAGUCAGACAUUUAUGUUUGGGCUGGUCAGAGCUGCAGCCAUUCUCCCUUUGCAGCUGACAAGGAGAAAUGGGAACCUCCAGAAGGUUGUUCAGCUUAUCCUCAGGCAGAUAUCUAUGGUGGAUCAGAAGAUUUGCUCUCAGAAAGUGCCUUCUUGUCUCCACUGCAAGAGUUCCUGUGACCACCAUCUCCUCCCAGUCCUCAGGUACCUGGAGGGCAUCCCAGAAAAACAGGAGGGUGAGCCAGCCUGCUCAGACAUUGAUGCUUUCUGAAUCUCACAGGUAAGCCCAAGUUUCAAUAUUUAACGGUCUUCAAAACCCCCAUGUAGCACCCCCUGGCCCAAGAGGAAAAGCAGCUCAGCACAGCUUCCCUGGAGAGCCAGACCAUGGCCAGGGAGCUGCAAUGACACCCCUUGGUCCAGAGCUGGGCUUUGAUUGCUGUGGGUGAAAUUCACAGUGUGUGUGGAGAGAAGCAGCGAGGCUGCCAGUGCAGGGGGAGUGAAUAAUGCAGAGGCCUUUGCUCGUCCUGUUGCACAGGAAUGAUUCCCACGUCCUCCAGGCACCGUGGAGUGAAU
rnacentral:lncRNA from 1 species